AUCCGGCUGACCAGUCCCAAACAUGACGAAACAUACGUCCUGGAU
rfam:Schistosoma margrebowiei strain Zambia genome assembly, scaffold: SMRZ_scaffold0000968